CGCUGGCGGCACGCCUAACACAUGCAAGUCGAACGAAGUAGCAAUACUUAGUGGCAGACGGGUGAGUAACAUGUAGGUAUCUGCCCUUUGGCCUGGAAUAACACGAGGAAACUUGUGCUAAUACCGGAUAAGUCUUUACGGAGAAAGCUUUAUGCACCAUUGGAUGAGCCUGCACUUGAUUAGUUUGUUGGUGGGGUAAUGGCCUACCAAGACUGUGAUCAAUAGCUGAUUUGAGAGGAUGAUCAGCCACAUUGGGACUGAGACACGGCCCAAACUCCUACGGGAGGCAGCAGUGGGGAAUCUUGCACAAUGGAGGAAACUCUGAUGCAGCGAUGCCGCGUGAGUGAAGAAGGCCUUUGGGUUGUAAAGCUCUUUCGUCGGGGAAGAAAAUGACUGUACCCGAAUAAGAAGGUCCGGCUAACUUCGUGCCAGCAGCCGCGGUAAUACGAAGGGACCUAGCGUAGUUCGGAAUUACUGGGCUUAAAGAGUUCGUAGGUGGUUGAAAAAGUUGGUGGUGAAAUCCCAGAGCUUAACUCUGGAACUGCCAUCAAAACUUUUCAGCUAGAGUAUGAUAGAGGAAAGCAGAAUUUCUAGUGUAGAGGUGAAAUUCGUAGAUAUUAGAAAGAAUACCAAUUGCGAAGGCAGCUUUCUGGAUCAUAACUGACACUGAGGAACGAAAGCAUGGGUAGCGAAGAGGAUUAGAUACCCUCGUAGUCCAUGCCGUAAACGAUGUGUGUUAGACGUUGGAAAUUUAUUUUCAGUGUCGCAGCGAAAGCGAUAAACACACCGCCUGGGGAGUACGACCGCA
rnacentral:rRNA from 1 species